rnacentral:rRNA from 1 species
AACGAACGCUGGCGGCAGGCCUAACACAUGCAAGUCGAACGCCCCGCAAGGGGAGUGGCGCACGGGUGAGUAACGCGUGGGAAUAUGCCCUUCGGUUCGGAAUAACUCAGGGAAACUUGGGCUAAUACCGGAUACGGACUACGGUCGAAAGAUUUAUCGCCGAGGGGGUAGCCCGCGUAGGAUUAGCUAGUUGGUGAGGUAAUGGCUCACCAAGGCGACGAUCCUUAGCUGGUCUGAGAGGAUGAUCAGCCACACUGGGACUGAGACACGGCCCAGACUCCUACGGGAGGCAGCAGUGGGGAAUAUUGGACGAUGGGGGCAACCCUGAUCCAGCCAUGCCGCGUGAGUGAUGAAGGCCUUAGGGUUGUAAAGCUCUUUCGUCGGGGAAGAUAAUGACGGUACCCGAAGAAGAAGCCUCGGCUAACUCCGUGCCAGCCGCCGCCGUAA